CCCUUAGAUGUCCUGGGCCGCACGCGCGCUACACUGAUGCAUUCAACGAGUUCUACCUUGGCCGAGAGGCCUGGGCAAUCUUUUGAACCUGUAUCGUGAUAGGGAUAGAUUAUUGCAAUUAUUAAUCUUGAACGAGGAAUUCCUAGUAAACGCAGAUCAUCAAUCUGCAUUGAUUACGUCCCUGCCCUUUGUACACACCGCCCGUCGCACCUACCGAUUGAAUGGUCCGGUGAAGCCUCGGGAUUGUGGCGAGUUCCCUUUAUUGGGAGUUUGUCGCGAGAACUUGUCUAAACCUUAUCAUUUAGAGGAAGGUGAAGUCGUAACA
rnacentral:rRNA from 1 species